rnacentral:rRNA from 1 species
GAGGCAGCAGUGGGGAAUAUUGCACAAUGGGCGCAAGCCUGAUGCAGCCAUGCCGCGUGUGUGAAGAAGGCCUUCGGGUUGUAAAGCACUUUCAGUCAGGAGGAAAGGGUGUGAGUUAAUACCUCAUAUCUGUGACGUUACUGACAGAAGAAGCCCCGCCUAACUCCGUGCCAGCAGCCGCGGUAAUACGGAGGGUGCGAGCGUUAAUCGGAAUUACUGGGCGUAAAGCGUACGCAGGCGGUUUGUUAAGCGAGAUGUGAAAGCCCCGGGCUCAACCUGGGAACUGCAUUUCGAACUGGCAAACUAGAGUGUGAUAGAGGGUGGUAGAAUUUCAGGUGUAGCGGUGAAAUGCGUAGAGAUCUGAAGGAAUACCGAUGGCGAAGGCAGCCACCUGGGUCAACACUGACGCUCAUGUACGAAAGCGUGGGGAGCAAACAGGAUUAGAUACCCUGGUAGUCCA